GUGCUCGCUUUGGCAGCACAGAUACUAAAAUUGGAAAGAUACAGAGAUUAGCAUGGCCCCUGCGCAAGGCAAACACAAAUUUAUUAAUCAAUGGCACUCCAAUGCAUUUAAUUUUU
rnacentral:snRNA from 1 species